ensembl:lncRNA
AAGACUCACACAGGAGGAAUCAAUAUGAAGCUCUCAUCUGCUGUGAAAGUUCUGGGAUCUCUCUGUCUGCUGCUCAUAGAUGGAUUUCCAGUUUCUGAAGAUGAAUCUCCAGAGAUGAUUGGACCAGGCUUUGUCCAAAUAAAAACUCAUCCAGGUGCACCACUGGUGCUUCACUGUGAUGCGUUUGCAAACUGUGAGGAUGAUGUGACUCUUAUCUACUGGCUUGUCAAUGACACCUUCCCCGAAAACGCCCCCAGCAGCGACAGGAUAACAGAAUCUAAUGAAUCUACUCUAGAGGAGGGUGCAAUCCUUCAGAGGAGUUUGCUGUUGAAGAACAUCACAUCCGAGGACCUCAAAUCCACCUUCACAUGUGUUGUGACAAAUGCUGUGGGAAUGGCCCAAAAACACAUUAAAUUAAUAGCAACAAGUGAAGACUGAAGAUACUAAAUGACUGAAGAUACUAAUUGACUGAAGAUACUAAAUGACAACUGUGUAAAAGAUCUUGAUUUUCUGUCCUCUGUACUGUGAUAUAAGUCAUGUCUGUCAGGAGUCAACAUUGCAUGUCAGCAUUUUCAUGUAAAACUUUUGUUUGGCAACUUGUGGAUGAACCCUG